rnacentral:lncRNA from 1 species
ACAGCCUUAUCCAAAAGCUCUGGAGGUAACACCAGUGGAAGCAACCUUAGAAGAGGAAUGAGUUGGCAAGAGGCAGGAAAGCACUGAGUAAGAGCUGGCAGUGUCAGUGUCAGCAUCAGAUCAAUUACAGAGAAUGUUUCAUCGUGAGAUGUGAGCAUCAUGUUCAAGGCACUGAGUGCUUCAUAAAAAAAAAGUUCCUUUUCCACCAAAACAAUGCCCUGAUUUGAGUGCUUCAUCAAAAGAGAAAGAUUUCUCAUGAUAAACCAUAUUCUAAGCACUUAGAUCACAGUAUAGUAAAUUUUCAAAAGGAAGUCACUUUUGCCAAGAUAUAAAGGCUCAUGUACGUAAAUUCUAUGCUUCAAAUAUAAGUACAUUU